UGCGCAGGAAAGACCCUUGAGCGGGUGGGAGGCGGCUUGGGGGCGCGCCCGCGGAUUGGCGGGCACAGCCUGGUCCGGCGUCGGGGCGAAGGACGGCCGCCUGGGGGAGCACGCCGGAAGUGGCCGGCCGCCGCGGUCACGAUGUCCAGGGUGGUGGCGCCGCGCCGGAGGGAGGAGCUGGGGCUGAUCGCUGGCGGCCGUGCAGGUGGCCACGGUCGAGCGGGAGGCUAGGGGUGGCCUGGAGAUUUUCCUCCUGCGUUCCUGACCCACUGAUUCAUUGGCUUCUCAGAAGUUUUCUCCUGGGUGCCACACAGCUGCCAGUGUUCCUCAGCCAGGUACCAGGUGGAAGACAACCUAAAUGAUCUGCCAGCACUGUUUCUUCUUUAGCAUCUUCCCCUGCCACUCUGAUAUGUCAGACUAGAUCUCUAUGGGACAGUCCCUGCUUCUGUCACCCGCCUCCACGCCAUGGCUCUAGAUCUCUUCACUCUAAUUAGAAGAUCACUGACCAUGCCUUUCAAGAUAUGAUACUUUGGGAGACAUCUUUAUAUGACCCUUUUUUUGAAGAUGGAGUUCACCUCAUUUGUCAUUCUUUUAACUGUUUUCAGUGGGUUUUGAGAAAUGCCUUUUCCAUCUUUUAAACUGUUUCUAAAUUUUGAAC